UCUUGGUUUAGGUUUCACAGGAAACUGGUUUAAUAACGAAAACUAGUCUCCUCUAAAAUCCUAAUCAAGAC
rnacentral:pre_miRNA from 1 species